AUUGAACGCUGGCGGCAUGCUUUACACAUGCAAGUCGAACGGUAACAGGCCUUCGGGCGCUGACGAGUGGCGAACGGGUGAGUAAUGCAUCGGAACGUGCCCAGUCGUGGGGGAUAACGCAGCGAAAGCUGUGCUAAUACCGCAUACGAUCUGCGGAUGAAAGCGGGGGACCUUCGGGCCUCGCGCGAUUGGAGCGGCCGAUGUCAGAUUAGGUAGUUGGUGGGGUAAAGGCUCACCAAGCCAACGAUCUGUAGCUGGUCUGAGAGGACGACCAGCCACACUGGGACUGAGACACGGCCCAGACUCCUACGGGAGGCAGCAGUGGGGAAUUUUGGACAAUGGGCGCAAGCCUGAUCCAGCAAUGCCGCGUGCAGGAAGAAGGCCUUCGGGUUGUAAACUGCUUUUGUACGGGGCGAAAAGGCUCCCUCUAAUACAGGGGGCUCAUGACGGUACCGUAAGAAUAAGCACCGGCUAACUACGUGCCAGCAGCCGCCGUAACAC
rnacentral:rRNA from 1 species